rnacentral:rRNA from 1 species
GACAGAGGGUGCAAACGUUGCUCGGAAUUACUGGGCGUAAAGCGUGCGCAGGCGGCUUCUCAAGUCAGGGGUGAAAGCCCAGAGCUCAACUCUGGAAUUGCCUUUGAGACUGAGUGGCUUGAGUACGAGAGAGGUGAGUGGAAUUCCCAGUGUAGAGGUGAAAUUCGUAGAUAUUGGGAAGAACACCGGUGGCGAAGGCGGCGAUCUGGACGAUGACUGACGCUGGAGACGCGAAAGCCGUGGGGAGCAAACAGG